GAAAGUGGACGUGGUGAUUUGGGCGACCGGCUUGCGGCCACGUAAAACAAACCGCUAAAAGGUCGAGGCCGCCGAGAC
rnacentral:ncRNA from 2 species